GAGCAGAAGAAACUGAACCAAUUCGGUCCAAAUCGCGCGCACAAAUUCGUCCGCCCCGGCCGGAAGCUACUUUACUUAAAUUGGACCGGGCCUCGCUCCCAUUUGAAUCCCUAAUUGCAAUCUCGCAGCGCGUUGUACGGACGAGCAAUAUCGCCAUGGCCGCAGAGGAAGUGGGCAACAAGUUAGUCCGCCUCUUGUACUUCGUCGGCGCCGGAUUGAUCUGCACCAAGGGAAUCAACCUCUGGAACGACUACGAGCGAAAGGCCGCCGCCGUGACGACAAAAGAAACGAAUCGGACGAUGCCUGAGGCGCCCGAGGGGAUGGUCAACGCAUCUACCGCGGUCGCCUCAAAGCCUUGAUUCGCGGUUAGGGUUUAUCAUUCUCUGCUACACUUGAAUUUUUAAUAAGAGACCAAAUGAACCAUACGGAAAGCGUUCUUGCACUUACAGUUUGGGUAUUUCUAUUCGAUCGGAAGUGUUAGCUAAAUACGACGAUAGUGUUUCAGUAUCUUCAAAAUAGUUCCUUAAUUUGCCUUUAGUUUGGGGGGUUCCAAACUGUCACAGGAAACGAAAAAAAUGUCCCUAUCUGAGCUUGUAAUAGUGAAUUUGAUUCUAUAAGCGUCCUUGAUAUCCUUGAUUAGAAUUUCUCUUCAUUCAUUCUCUUCUGAACUAUUAUCUAUUGUUAGGAUGUGUAAUUCAUUAGCUUUGAAGUUUUUGCAAUCUAAAUCCCUUAUCAUUCA